rnacentral:rRNA from 1 species
AUUGAACGCUGGCGGCAGGCCUAACACAUGCAAGUCGAACGAGUGGCGGACUGGUGAGUAAUGUCUGGGAACCUGCCUGAUGGAGGGGGAUAACUACUGGAAACGGUAGCUAAUACCGCAUACCAUCGGAUGUGCCCAGAUGGGAUUGGCUAGUAGGUGGGGUAAAGGCUCACCUAGGCGAAGAUCCCUAGCUGGUCUGAGAGGCGGACCGGCCACACUGGAACUGAGACACGGUCCAGACUCCUACGGGAGGCAGCAGUGGGGAAUAUUGCGCAAUGGGCGAAAGCCUGAUGGAGCCACGCCGCGUGUAUGAAGAAGGCCUUCGGGUUGUAAAGCUCUUUUAGCGGGGAGGCGUUACCUAAAGAGAAAGCAACGGCUAACUCCGUGCCAGCAGCCGCGGUAAUUC